rnacentral:rRNA from 1 species
CCUACGGGUGGCUGCAGUAGGGAAUAUUGGGCAAUGUCCGAGAGGAUGACCCAGCCAUGCCGCGUGCAGGAAGAAGGCUUUCUGAGUUGUAAACUGCUUUUGUAAGGGAAGAAAAGGGGUUACGUGUAACUCAAUCGACGGUACCUUAUGAAUAAGCACCGGCUAACUCCGUGCCAGCAGCCGCGGUAAUACGGAGGGUGCAAGCGUUGUCCGGAUUUAUUGGGUUUAAAGGGUGCGUAGGCGGAUGCUUAAGUCUGGGGUGAAAGACGGUCGCU